CCCCUCUCAGGGUUGCAUCUGGAGAAUUUCCAGUACUAUACCAGUCUCGACUAUGGGAGGGAGAGUCAAGCAGAGGCAUAACCAUUCCAUUCCUAGCUUGGGCAGUAGCUAGCAAGUGGAAGGCAAUGUGCUACAAGU
rnacentral:snoRNA from 1 species